rnacentral:tRNA from 1 species
UGGGCCGUCGUCUAACGGCAGGACAAGGGAUUUUGGUUCCCUUUAUCGCGGUUCGAAUCCGUGCGGCCCAACCA